rnacentral:rRNA from 1 species
UACGUAGGGGGCAAGCGUUGUCCGGAUUUAUUGGGCGUAAAGAGCGUGUAGGCGGCUGGGUAGGUCCGUUGUGAAAACUCGAGGCUCAACCUCGAGACGCCGAUGGAAACCCUCCAGCUAGAGUCCGGAAGAGGAGAGUGGAAUUCCGAGUGUAGCAGUGAAAUGUGUAGAUAUUCGGAAGAACACCAGCGGCGAAGGCAGCGGGUUGGCGCUUUAUUGACGCUCAGGCACGAAAGCAUGGGGAUCAAACAGG